rnacentral:lncRNA from 12 species
CUUAAAAUGGGGCUGGCGUGACGGAGGAGGUGGUAAAUUACACUUAAUUGUAAUCAGCUUCAGUGUAAAUAGCUGCAUGUGUCUAGUGGCUCCUGGUCCGAACAGCGUAGCUGCGGUCCCUGCACCUCACCAGCCUCCCCCUGCACGCUGGGGCCCUAGGAGAGUGGGAAGGGGUGGUAACAUCUCGUAGAGGAGCAUGUCCCCCGGUGAUUUUGAUAAACUCCAGUCUUGCGAUAAAGUCCAAGUGAGAAAGGUCAGAAACAAUCCGGGAAACAGCCUACUCCAUCCUUUGACUUUUGAGAUGCAUAUAGCAUGUUAAAUACACGUUCUGAGAUGUUUUGCUCCUAAGAGACCCAUUUGAUUUUAUUUAAGCCCAAAUUUUCCAAUUGUAUUUGACUACAGUUCUUUUUUUUUUUUUUUUGCUACAGUACAUUCUUACAUGGCAUAUCUAUCCAUGUUCUGUGAGGGCCUUGGAGAUGCUGGGGAAGGCGGGACUCCUGGAAGAACUGAUGCUCCCACAUGGGGCUACUCCUGGUUCCUGCAGCCUGUCUCCUGUACCUAAUGGCCUUAGGUCCUUGGAUGAGAAGAUACCCCUAGAGGCUAUUUGGUCCAGCCCUCUCCCUUACAACUAGAUGUGCAUGACCAUGAUGGAAGGAAAGGCAUGUCCUGAGUCCUUUGAAGACUGCCACAGGGCAAGAAUUCUCUGGGCAUGGAGUCUCUCCCAUAUACCACAGAGUUUCCUUGUUGCUGAAUCCAUCAGGUUUGCAUGGAAAACAAGCUUUCCUGGUGGAUGUUUUCACAGCAUAUGUGAGGAUUAGCAAAUACCAGAUCUCCACUUACCUGCUUGGAGCUCCCCCCGCCAUCACCACACAAUUCCUUGCAGGGUUGGGUAAGCAUCCUUCUUCCCUACUUUCUCUUCUAAACUCCAAGUGCUCUUUGGGAAGGGGAACCGGCAGUCCUCCCAUUGCUAA